rnacentral:rRNA from 1 species
AGCAGCCGCGGUAAUUCCAGCUCCAAUAGCGUAUAUUAAAGUUGUUGCAGUUAAAAAGCUCGUAGUUGAAUUUCGGGGUCAAUAAGUUGGUCAUGCCAAUGGUAUGCACUGGCUUUAUUGGUUCCUACCUCUUGACGAACUGUGGUGCCAUUAAUUUGGUGUUGCAAGGAAUCAGGACUGUUACCUUGAAAAAAUUAGAGUGUUUAAAGCAAGCUUACGCUUGAAUACAUUAGCAUGGAAUAAUGAAAUAGGACGUUUGAUCCUAUUUUGUUGGUUUCUAGGAUCGACGUAAUGAUUAAUAGGGAUAGUUGGGGGCAUUAGUAUUCAAUUGUCAGAGGUGAAAUUCUUGGAUUUAUUGAAGACUAACUACUGCGAAAGCAUUUGCCAAGGAUGU